UCCCACCUGACCCCAUGCCGAACUCAGAAGUGAAACGCCGUAGCGCCGAUGGUAGUGUGGGGUCUCCCCAUGCGAGAGUAGGGAACUGCCAGGCA
rnacentral:rRNA from 6 species